rnacentral:rRNA from 1 species
CUCCCAAACCCAAUGUGAACGUUACCAAACUGUUGCCUCGGCGGGAUCUCUGCCCCGGGUGCGUCGCAGCCCCGGACCAAGGCGCCCGCCGGAGGACCAACCAAAACUCUUUUUGUAUACCCCCUCGCGGGUUUUUUUAUAAUCUGAGCCUUCUCGGCGCCUCUCGUAGGCGUUUCGAAAAUGAAUCAAAACUUUCAACAACGGAUCUCUUGGUUCUGGCAUCGAUGAAGAACGCAGCGAAAUGCGAUAAGUAAUGUGAAUUGCAGAAUUCAGUGAAUCAUCGAAUCUUUGAACGCACAUUGCGCCCGCCAGUAUUCUGGCGGGCAUGCCUGUCCGAGCGUCAUUUCAACCCUCGAACCCCUCCGGGGGGUCGGCGUUGGGGAUCGGCCCUCCCUUAGCGGGUGGCCGUCUCCGAAAUACAGUGGCGGUCUCGCCGCAGCCUCUCCUGCGCAGUAGUUUGCACACUCGCAUCGGGAGCGCGGCGCGUCCACAGCCGUUAAACACCCAACUUCUGAAAUGUUGACCUCGGAUCAGGUAGGAAUACCCGCUGAACUUAAGCAUAUCAAUAAGCGGAGGAAAAGAAACCAACAGGGAUUGCCCCAGUAACGGCGAGUGAAGCGGCAACAGCUCAAAUUUGAAAUCUGGCCCCUAGGGUCCGAGUUGUAAUUUGUAGAGGAUGCUUUUGGUGAGGUGCCGCCCGAGUUCCCUGGAACGGGACGCCACAGAGGGUGAGAGCCCCGUCUGGCUGGCCGCCGAGCCUCUGUAAAGCUCCUUCGACGAGUCGAGUAGUUUGGGAAUGCUGCUCAAAAUGGGAGGUAUAUGUCUUCUAAAGCUAAAUAUUGGCCAGAGACCGAUAGCGCACAAGUAGAGUGAUCGAAAGAUGAAAAGCACCUUGAAAAGAGGGUUAAAUAGUACGUGAAAUUGUUGAAAGGGAAGCGCUUGUGACCAGACUUGGGCGCGGCGGAUCAUCCGGGGUUCUCUCCGGUGCACUUCGCCGCGUCUAGGCCAGCAUCAGUUCGUCGCGGGGGAAAAAGGCUUCGGGAACGUGGCUCCUCCGGGAGUGUUAUAGCCCGUUGCAUAAUACCCUGCGG